CUCACGAUCGACUAAAAGGAAAGUCGCCCGGAGAUAUUGGUUCAAAUCCAAUUCGUGAGA
rnacentral:tRNA from 2 species